AAGCAACACUGUGGCAGAUGAUCAAAACUAUCUGACACAAUUUGAGCUUGCUGUAGCCACAAAAUCUAACCUACUCCAGUGCUCUCUCCUCAGAGACAAGCCUUUAUACAGAUUUAAACAGU